GACCGGCCACCUCAGACCUCAGGAGACCCCGUCCCUGUGGGGCAAAGCCUCCUCAAGCUCAGCCGGCCUCCCUGCCCUGCUUGAGCAGAGCCCUCACCCAGAAGAUGAGAGCAGUAGGGACCCCCCUCUGCAACUCCUCUCUUCUCCCAGGCCCCCUGGUCAUCUUGUGUUUCACACACACUGCUGUAGCUCUGAGACUCAGACUGACUCUGCUGUUUGUGUUCCUGUGUGUCUGUAGGAGGCCGGAAGCGAAGGGCUGCAGAGACCUCAUCUAAAGAGAAUCUUGUUUGCAAACCGUAUGAAGACAAAGACAAAGAAGUUCCUGAUGAAAACCCUCCAGAGACCCCUUCAAGUGGACACCUAGUAAAGUGGAUUGUUGUGAC